UGGGGAAUAUUGGACGAUGGGCGCAAGCCUGAUCCAGCCAUGCCGCGUGUGUGAAGAAGGCCUUUUGGUUGUAAAGCACUUUAAGCGAGGAGGAGGCUACUUGGAUUAAUACUCUAAGAUAGUGGACGUUACUCGCAGAAUAAGCACCGGCUAACUCUGUGCCAGCAGCCGCGGUAAUACAGAGGGUGCGAGCGUUAAUCGGAUUUACUGGGCGUAAAGCGUGCGUAGGCGGCUUCUUAAGUCGGAUGUGAAAUCCCUGAGCUUAACUUAGGAAUUGCAUUCGAUACUGGGAAGCUAGAGUAUGGGAGAGGAUGGUAGAAUUCCAGGUGUAGCGGUGAAAUGCGUAGAGAUCUGGAGGAAUACCGAUGGCGAAGGCAGCCAUCUGGCCUAAUACUGACGCUGAGGUACGAAAGCAUGGGGAGCAAACAGG
rnacentral:rRNA from 1 species